AGGAGUCUGAUGAGCUAAAGGUUAAAAUUGAUCAGGCCUGUGAAGCUCAUCUUCAGGACUACAAAGAUUCUUCUGAGUUUGAGGAAUUUGUAGCCGAGGCUUGUGAAGAACAUCUUGAUGAGUAUAAAGCUUCUAGUGAAAUGAAACAGGCUAUCUUUGAUAAGGCCUACCGCAUGUAUGUAACUGGCUACAAUCGCGGUUUAAGAGAAGCUAGACAGGCUCCUGAUAUUCCUUUGGCCAAGCUUCGUAGGCGCGAAGUGGACUCAGAUGGCGAGUCAGUGCUAUACGGGGAGGAUGAUUUCCCUUUGCCCCGAGGAGAUUGCCGGAGGGACCGAGAUCGGCCAGCUGAGUCUUCUUCAGAGGGAUCCGAGCUAGGGUCGGAG
rnacentral:lncRNA from 1 species